CCCCCUUUGGUGCAGUGGUAGCAUACUUCCUUCCAUCCGGAGGCUUUGGUCCCGGUGUCGUCAUUAAGUACAAGGAGAACAGGGAGAGCCCCGGGUUCAAACCCCGGAAGGGGGG